GCGGACGUGGUGGAACGGUAUACACGUGCGUUCGAGGGGCGCAUGCCGCAAGGCUUGAGGGUUCAAAUCCCUCCGUCCGCACCA
rnacentral:tRNA from 1 species